rnacentral:rRNA from 1 species
GACGUAGGGCGCGAGCGUUGUCCGGAAUCAUUGGGCGUAAAGAGCUCGUAGGCGGCCGGUUGCGUCUGCUGUGAAAUCCCGGGGCUUAACCCCGGGCGUGCAGUGGAUACGGGCUGGCUGGAGGCAGGCAGGGGAGAAUGGAAUUCCCGGUGUAGCGGUGAAAUGCGCAGAUAUCGGGAGGAACACCGGUGGCGAAGGCGGGUUCUCUGGGCCUGUGCUGACGCUGAGGAGCGAAAGCGUGGGGAGCGAACA